CAAGACUUAACCUUUAAUUAUUUGCACACGUGUCAAAGAGAAGUAAAGGUGGGGUUAUAACGUUGCAUUUAACAUUUAUCCUUAUUAUACGUUUUACUCAAUUUAUAUGUGUGAGAAGCAGGCAGAGCCUCCGGGCUAUGAGACAGAAAGUUAUAACUUACGGGUUAUAUGAGACAGAAAGUUAUAGCCUACGGGUUAUAUGAGAAAGAAAGUUAUAGCCUACGGGCUAUAUGAGACAGAAAGUUAUAGCCUACGGGCUAUAUGAGACAGAAAGUUAUAACCUACGGGUUAUAUGAGAAAGAAAGUUAUAGCCUACGGGCUAUAUGAGACAGAAAGUUAUAUAGCCUUCGGGCUAAGAGACAGAAAGUUAUUGCUUUCGGGCAAUAUGAAAGAGCAGACAGUUUUUAUUGCACUUAUAUUUUGUUGUGAUUCUUAUAAUAUGGAUAAAUGCAC
rnacentral:lncRNA from 1 species